AGAGUUUGAUCUGGCUCAGAAUCAACACUGGCGGCGUGCCUAACACAUGCAAGUCGAACGCGAAAGUCCCGCAAGGGAUUAGUAGAGUGGCAAACGGGUGAGUAACACGUGGGUGACCUGCCUUCGAGCGGGGGAUAACGUCCCGAAAGGGACGCUAAUACCGCAUAAUAUGCCGCCUUUUAACAGGUGGACAUCAAAGCUGGGGAUCGCAAGACCUAGCACUUGAAGAGGGGCCCGCGCCUGAUUAGCUAGUUGGUGGGGUAAUGGCUCACCAAGGCAACGAUCAGUAUCCGGCCUGAGAGGGCGGACGGACACACUGGGACUGAGACACGGCCCAGACUCCUACGGGAGGCAGCAGUGGGGAAUUGUUCGCAAUGGGCGCAAGCCUGACGACGCAACGCCGCGUGGAGGAUGAAGACCUUCGGGUCGUAAACUCCUUUCGAUCGAGACGAAUGGCCUCCGGGUGAAUACUCCGGAGGAGUGACGGUACCGAGAGAAGAAG
rnacentral:rRNA from 1 species